UCACUCAUACAGCAGAAACCAAAUCCAAUUUUCAUUGCUUAAACCUGUGUUUAAUUUUGUUGCAAGAUUUAAGCAAUGAAAUGGGAUUUGGUUUCCGCGGUUGGAGCGGUA
rnacentral:pre_miRNA from 1 species